AAAUGAAUAGACGGGGGCCCGCACAAGCGGAGGAACAUGUGGUUUAAUUCGAUGAUACGCGAGGAACCUUACCCGGGCUUAAAUUGCAACAGAAUAUAUUGGAAACAGUAUAGCCGUAAGGCUGUUGUGAAGGUGCUGCAUGGUUGUCGUCAGCUCGUGCCGUGAGGUGUCGGCUUAAGUGCCAUAACGAGCGCAACCCUUAUCUUUAGUUACUAACAGGUUAUGCUGAGGACUCUAGAGAGACUGCCGUCGUAAGAUGUGAGGAAGGUGGGGAUGACGUCAAAUCAGCACGGCCCUUACGUCCGGGGCUACACACGUGUUACAAUGGGGGGUACAGAAGGCGGCUACCUGGUGACAGGAUGCUAAUCCCAAAAACCUCUCUCAGUUCGGAUCGAAGUCUGCAACCCGACUUCGUGAAGCUGGAUUCGCUAGUAAUCGCGCAUCAGCCAUGGCGCGGUGAAUACGUUCCCGGGCCUUGUACACACCGCCCGU
rnacentral:rRNA from 1 species